CUAGCUGAGCAGGAGAGAUGAAGAACAGGAGCGAAUAAGUUCCAGGGUCGUCAAGAUCCCAUAAUGAGUUGUUUUCAUGACAUGCAUUCUUCCGAGGGGCCUUGCAGAAAAUGAGAACGGACGUCUGUUUGUUCUACGGGGAACAUAAUCAGAGACAAAUAACAAAGUUUGGUAUAUUUUUGGAUUUUUUAAAGGCUCAGGGCCAGUCAACCGAUUUUCCUAUCUAAAUCAUGCCAGUCAAGGUCGGCCCUGUGAUGGACUGGCGACCUGUCUGGGAGGUGCACCGCCCUUUGCCCGCUGUCAGCUGGGAUUUGCUCCAGCUGCCCCCUGAGACUCUCAAAGCAUUAGCGGUAUAGUUAAUGAAUGGAUGUAUAAUGGGUUCUGUGGCUCUGGAGGAACUGUCGCUCUGUCGUAAGUCUACAAUACAAACUGGAGGUGAUGAGAAGGAUGUGUGGACAUUUACCUGUGAGGGAGGGCUCUAAUGACGGAUGCCAUCAAGCUGCAUUAUGGGAAAUGUAGGACUGUAUUUUUCGAACGCGACCCAGAUAGGGACUAACAGUUUAAAUAAAUAAAAUUAUGAAUGAGUCAUGUUUUA